rnacentral:rRNA from 1 species
GAUGAACGCUGGCGGCGUGCCUAAUACAUGCAAGUCGAGCGAACAGAUGAGGAGCUGCUCCUCUGACGUUGGCGGCGGACGGGUGAGUAACACGUGGAUAACCUACCCAUAAGACUGGGAUAACUUCGGGAAACCGGAGCUAAUACCGGAUAAUAUAUUUAACCGCAUGGUUCCAUAGUGAAAGACGGGUUUGCUGUCACUUAUAGAUGGAUCCGCGCCGCAUUAGCUAGUUGGUAAGGUAACGGCUUACCAAGGCAACGAUGCGUAGCCGAACUAGAGGGUGAUCGGCCACACUGGAACUGAGACACGGUCCAGACUCCUACGGGAGGCAGCAGUAGGGAAUCUUCCGCAAUGGGCGAAAGCCUGACGGAGCAACGCCGCGUGAGUGAUGAAGGUCUUCGGAUCGUAAAACUCUGUUAUUAGGGAAGAACAAAUGUGUAAGUAACUAUGCACGUCUUGACGGUACCUAAUCAGAAAGCCACGGCUAACUACGUG